UACGGGGGGAGCAAGCGUUGUUCGGAUUUACUGGGCGUAAAGGGCGCGUAGGCGGCCAGCACAAGUCAGUUGUGAAAUCUCCGAGCUUAACUCGGAACGGUCAACUGAUACUGUGCGGCUAGAGUGCAGAAGGGGCAACUGGAAUUCUUGGUGUAGCGGUGAAAUGCGUAGAUAUCAAGAGGAACACCUGCGACGAAGGCGGGUUGCUGGGCUGACACUGACGCUGAGGCGCGAAAGCGUGGGGAGCAAACAGG
rnacentral:rRNA from 1 species